GCAGAUUAGGUAGUUGGUGGGGUAAAGGCCUACCAAGCCUGUGAUCUGUAGCUGGUUUGAGAGGAUGAUCAGCCACACUGGGACUGAGACACGGCCCAGACUCCUACGGGAGGCAGCAGUGGGGAAUAUUGGACAAUGGGGGAAGCCCUGAUCCAGCAAUGCCGCGUGAAUGAAGAAGGCCUUAGGGUUGUAAAAUUCUUUUGUUCGUGAAGAUAAUGACGGUAGCGGACGAAUAAGCCCUGGCUAACUCUGUGCCAGCCGCCGCGGUAAUAC
rnacentral:rRNA from 1 species